GAAGAAGCAGAGGAGCGAGUGUUUCGAGUUCAGUUUCGAUUUCGAGGAGGAAGUGUCUAAACUAGAAGCUUUGCCUCAGGAGAUUCUGUAUUAAGAUUCUGUGUGGAGUUGAUCAUGAGGAUCUUAAACAGCUGUUCCAUGUAUCUAAGGCGAUUAGAGAAGCGACUAUUAUAGCGAAAAAGUGGCAUUUUGCUUAUAGCACACCUAGAAAGAUUCGGGCUUUUCGAACUAAGAUUGAUUUCUCGGAGUCGAAUGAGGAUUUGGAUGAGAUUGAAGCUCCUAAUGCUCCGAGGCAGCAGAGGCUGCAUAGGGCGCUACCGAGCCGGAAAAAGCUUGAAGAGAUUUCAGUUAACUUAUUGGAUUCACUGGAGGAAGGAAUAAGAAGAGGGCUUUUCAUGGAUGAAGAUGAGUGAGAGCAAUCAGGGAUUUUGUAUAUAGAAAUGUCCUGCUUUGCUUGCUUGAGUAGUGUGUGUACAUAUGGAGAAAUUGGUACCAAGCAGA